rnacentral:rRNA from 1 species
AGAGUUUGAUCAUGGCUCAGAACGAACGCUGGCGGCAGGCCUAACACAUGCAAGUCGAGCGCACCUUCGGGUGAGCGGCGGACGGGUUAGUAACGCGUGGGAACGUGCCCAGAUCUAAGGAAUAGCCACUGGAAACGGUGAGUAAUACCUUAUACGCCCUUCGGGGGAAAGAUUUAUCGGAUUUGGAUCGGCCCGCGUUAGAUUAGAUAGUUGGUGGGGUAACGGCCUACCAAGUCUACGAUCUAUAGCUGGUUUUAGAGGAUGAUCAGCAACACUGGGACUGAGACACGGCCCAGACUCCUACGGGAGGCAGCAGUGGGGAAUCUUGGACAGUGGGCGCAAGCCUGAUCCAGCCAUGCCGCGUGAGUGAUGAAGGUCUUAGGAUCGUAAAGCUCUUUCGCCAGGGAUGAUAAUGACAGUACCUGGUAAAGAAACCCCGGCUAACUCCGUGCCAGCAGCCGCGGUAAUACGGAGGGGGUUAGCGUUGUUCGGAAUUACUGGGCGUAAAGCGCGCGUAGGCGGAUUGGAAAGUUGGGGGUGAAAUCCCAGGGCUCAACCCUGGAACUGCCUCCAAAACUCCCAGUCUUGAGUUCGAGAGAGGUGAGUGGAACUCCGAGUGUAGAGGUGAAAUUCGUAGAUAUUCNGAAGAACACCAGUGGCGAAGGCGGCUCACUGGCUCG